rnacentral:rRNA from 1 species
UACGUAGGGAGCGAGCGUUGUCCGAAGUUACUGGGCGUAAAGCGCGCGUAGGCGGGCCAUUAAGUGAGAGGUGAAAUUCCAGGGCUCAACCCGGGGACUGCCUCUCAUACUGAUAGUCUUGAGUGAGGUAGAGAGAAGUGGAAUGGCUGGUGUAGCGGUGAAAUGCGUAGAUAUCAGUCGGAACACCGGUGGCGAAGGCGGCUUCUUGGGCCUUUACUGACGCUGAUGCGCGAAAGCCAGGGUAGCGAACGGG